UUGGAGGGCAAGUCUGGUGCCAGCAGCCGCGGUAAUUCCAGCUCCAAUAGCGUAUAUUAAAGUUGUUGCAGUUAAAAAGCUCGUAGUUGAAUUUCGGGGUUAGUAGGUAGGUCGUGCCUCAGGUAUGUACUGAUCUCACUGAUUCCUCCUUCCUGAUGAACCGAAAUGCCAUUAAUUUGGUGUUGCGGGGAGUCUGGACUGUUACUUUGAAAAAAUUAGAGUGUUUAAAGCAGGCUAACGCCUGAAUACAUUAGCAUGGAAUAACGAAAUAGGACGUUCGAUCCUAUUUUGUUGGUUUCUAGGAUUGACGUAAUGAUUAAUAGGGAUAGUUGGGGGCAUUAGUAUUCAAUUGUCAGAGGUGAAAUUCUUGGAUUUAUUGAAGACUAACUACUGCGAAAGCAUUUGCCAUGGAUGUUUUCAUUAAUCAAGAACGAAAGUUAGGGGAUCGAAGACGAUCAGAUACCGUCGUAGUCUUAACCAUAAACUAUGCCGACUAGGGAUCGGAUGAUGUUAAUUUUUUAAUGACUCAUUCGGCGCCUUACGGGAAAC
rnacentral:rRNA from 1 species